rnacentral:misc_RNA from 1 species
AAGGUGGGGCUAAUGACUGGGGUGAAGUCGUAACAAGGUAGCCGUACCGGAAGGUGCGGCUGGAUCACCUCCUAACAGGGAGACAACAAAAUGUUAAUAUUAUUAUUUUGUCACCUUAGGUCGAUCGGUAUCUCACGUUCUUAAUUAAUUAAGAAUUUCAAUUUCUAAGUUUUUCUAGGUCACACCCAUUAUUUUUCCUGGGCCAUUAGCUCAGGUGGUUAGAGCGCACCCCUGAUAAGGGUGAGGUCCCUGGUUCAAGUCCAGGAUGGCCCAUAUCUCUAUGUUGGGGGUAUAGCUCAGUUGGUAGAGCGCCUGCUUUGCAAGCAGGAUGUCAGCGGUUCGAGUCCGCUUACCUCCACUGAUUACCACCUCUUCCAUAAUUUGUAGAAAGGAAAUGUUUUGAGUUGUGAUCAAAUUCUGAACGAAUCUAGCUUCCUAAUGAAAGUAUUAAGAUGCUGGACUCAUUGAAUUAAUUUCAUUGUUUUCAGAGAACCUUGACAACUGCAUAGAUUAUUUUUUAAAGACAAUAAGCAUCUUUAAUGAUGCAGAUUUAUUAUUUGUGCAAAUGCAUUAAUAACAAUUCUAUUAAGCUGAUGCUUCAAUUUUGAAGUUAUUGGUCAAGCUACAAAGGGCUCAC